rnacentral:lncRNA from 1 species
GAAAUAGUUAACAGUGAUAAAUACCAAAAAUAUUUUUUAAAAAAGUUGAGUGAAGUUAUGGUUAUACAUGGUAACAAUAAUAACAAUACACAUCAUGAUGUUAAACAAAAAAACGAAUGUAAUCACAAAAAAAAAGAAGUAAAUUUGUACAAACUUAUUAACAACAUAAUAAUAGACGUUUUUUUAUUAAAUGAAAAAACAUCCUACUUAAAUAGUCUUAUCAACUGUAUUCACAAUAAAAACAAAAAAGUGGCGAUGGAUGGAUUAAAUUUACUUAUGUAUUAUACUUGGAAGAAUAAAUUUAACGACGAUGAUAUAGAAGAUAUAAUGAAUAGAACACUUAAUGAAUUAUAUUAUUAUACCAGAAUGAAUGUAUUAAAUAGUGUGGUCAUAACUAACGAGACCAACAGACAAAAGGAUGAAAUGGAUGAAAAAGAAAAGGAACAAGCGAUAUCAAAUGAAUUAACCCAUAAUAAUGAUAAAUACCACUGUGAUAACACACUUGAUAUUUACAACAACAAUGUAUAUAACAAAAAGCAAAAACUAAUAAAAAGAAAAAGGNNNNNNNNNNACGACAAAAUAAACGAACAGUUGGAAAUAGUUAACAGUGAUAAAUACCAAAAAUAUUUUUUAAAAAAGUUGAGUGAAGUUAUGGUUAUACAUGGUAACAAUAAUAACAAUACACAUCAUGAUGUUAAACAAAAAAACGAAUGUAAUCACAAAAAAAAAGAAGUAAAUUUGUACAAACUUAUUAACAACAUAAUAAUAGACGUUUUUUUAUUAAAUGAAAAAACAUCCUACUUAAAUAGUCUUAUCAACUGUAUUCACAAUAAAAACAAAAAAGUGGCGAUGGAUGGAUUAAAUUUACUUAUGUAUUAUACUUGGAAGAAUAAAUUUAACGACGAUGAUAUAGAAGAUAUAAUGAAUAGAACACUUAAUGAAUUAUAUUAUUAUACCAGAAUGAAUGUAUUAAAUAGUGUGGUCAUAACUAACGAGACCAACAGACAAAAGGAUGAAAUGGAUGAAAAAGAAAAGGAACAAGCGAUAUCAAAUGAAUUAACCCAUAAUAAUGAUAAAUACCACUGUGAUAACACACUUGAUAUUUACAACAACAAUGUAUAUAACAAAAAGCAAA